ensembl:lncRNA
AGAAAGAGCUUGAGCGUCUUCUCUCCGCAGGCAUAUCCCCACAUCCACCCAGAGGAACGGGGAGUCACAUAUCUCUGCAGCAUUGUACAUGCUUCUCCUGGCCCCCUGAGUGGUUGGGGAGCUGUCUAUGACGAGCUGAUGAGAUGAGGAUAGGGUAGGGCACUGAUUCAAUGCCCAGUUAAGUUAAUUGGAUUCUUUCCAUUGACAUCAAUGGAUCACAUCCAAGCAGCAGAGAAGAUGUGAGGACUGGUGUGCUAAGUCCAUGGUUUACUACACAUGCUCCCCUGAGAAAUAAGUGAGAUAGAUAGAUCUUGAUGAAUACUAUACAUUGAAUUCAUUAUUUGCAGAAUAUUGUCAUUUUUUUCAGUGAACAUAUUCAGCUAGCACUAUAGCUGGAGAAAUACUAUUAAUCAACACCACUUCAGUAUGACUAGCCCAGUUUUGUGGUGGAAGACAUAAGUGGGGCUUAAAAUUUGUGCUGGCCCUUCUGCCCAAGGAGUGAAUUUCAUUCUCAAGCGCUAACACAAAACGAAUUGGAUACUUUGGUGAAUAUUUGUGAGCAUUGGAGCAGCUCUAUAGAUCAUCAUCAUAAUAUAGAACAAUUUCCAUUUUUUCUUCAGAAGCAAUGGUCUGAAGUUUCAGAAGCCAGUUCCUGUCUCUUCUGAUAUGAAAAGCUCUAUCAGCAAUUUCUCUCUCAAGACUGUUGUCCUCAAGGGAGUGUUCAAGAAAUUCAAAGAGACUCUGCAGGAUGAACUGGGAAAAGGUGAAAAAGGUAAAAGGAACGUAGUCUUUACCUUGUGGUUGUAAGUUACACAGGGUUUUGGCACAGGUGCCAACUUUCUUCUUUCCGGGUGGGUGCUCCAACCCUCUCUGCCCUGAGGCCCUGCCCCCACUCUGCCCCUUCUCUCAAGGUCCCACCCUUGCUCUGUCUCUUCCUGCCCCCACUCCACUCCCUCUCCCCAGCGACUCCUGCCCACUGCUGAACAGCUGAUCGGCAGAGCCCACUACACAGCUGAUUGGUGGGUGCUGAACCCACUAUUUUUUUUUUUCCACACUGGAGCACCCAUAGAGUCGGCACUUACGAGUUUUGGUGGAGGAAAAUGACAAUUUUAAUUUUCUUCUCUCUCAAUGGUUUCCAGAUGCAGUUGGCUUAGGCCUGGUCUACACUAAAAAGUGAAGUUGACCCAGCUGUGUCGCUCAGGAGUGUAAAAAAUCCACACCCCAUAGCGACAAAGCUAAGCCAACCUAAUUCUCCAGGUAGACUGCACUAGGUCAACAGAAGAAUUCUUUUGUUGACCUACCUGCCUCUUGUGGUGGUGGAUUACCCACGUUGACGGGAACGCCUCUCGUUAGCAUAGGUAGUGUCUACACUGAAGCACUACAGUGGCCCAGCUGCAGCUGUAGCAUUUCAAAUGUAGACUCAGUUCAAGAGUCAAAAGAUGGGUUUUCUCACUGAGGGUCUGAAAGUCAAGCUGGAUCCUUUCUGCCUGUUACACACACCAGCCUGCAGCUUGCAAUGGAAAGCACAGAGAUUUUAACUUACUCUGGUUUCAUCCAAUUCCCUCUGGUUCCUCGGGCAUUUCAAACAGCAAAUUAAGGUCCCAAUUUUGCCAAACUUACACUGAGAUCUGGUCUAGAAAGUUUUACUGGCAUAGCUAUGUCAGAAAUGUGAAAAAAAAUCAUACUUCUAUGGAUAUCCAGUAGAACCUCAGAGUUACGAACACCAGAGUUAUGAACUGACCAGUCAACUACACACCUCCUUUGGAACCAGAAGUACGCCAUCGGGCAGUAGCAGAGGCCAAAGAAA